rnacentral:tRNA from 2 species
GCCCGGAUAGUUUAGCGGUAAAACGUCGUCUUGGUAAGACGAGGAGGGGAGUUCAAUUCUCCCUCCGGGCU